GGGGCAUUGGCGCAGCUGGUAGCGCAUCUGCUUUGCAAGCAGAGGGUCGCCGGUUCGAACCCGGCAUGCUCCACUA
rnacentral:tRNA from 3 species